rnacentral:rRNA from 1 species
UCCACGCCCUAAACCGAAUGCACACUAGUUGUUGCUAUGCUAGACAUAGCAGUAAUGCAGUUAACACAGUAAGUGUGCCGCCUGGGGAGUACGGUCGCAAGAUUAAAACUCAAAGGAAUAGACGGGGACCCGCACAAGCGGUGGAGCAUGUGGUUUAAUUCGACAUACGCGAAGAACCUUACCCGGCCUUGACAUAGAAAGAAUCCUUUAGAGAUAGAAGAGUGCUAGUUUAC